rnacentral:rRNA from 1 species
UACGAAGGGGGCUAGCGUUGCUCGGAAUCACUGGGCGUAAAGCGCACGUAGGCGGAUUGUUAAGUCAGGGGUGAAAUCCUGGAGCUCAACUCCAGAACUGCCUUUGAUACUGGCGAUCUCGAGUCCGGGAGAGGUGAGUGGAACUGCGAGUGUAGAGGUGAAAUUCGUAGAUAUUCGCAAGAACACCAGUGGCGAAGGCGGCUCACUGGCCCGUUACUGACGCUGAGGCACGAAAGCGUGGGGAGCAAACAGG